UUUUUACGGAGAGUUUGAUCCUGGCUCAGGAUGAACGCUGGCGGCGUGCUUAACACAUGCAAGUCGAACGGUGAAGCCAAGCUUGCUUGGUGGAUCAGUGGCGAACGGGUGAGUAACACGUGAGCAACCUGCCCUGGACUCUGGGAUAAGCGCUGGAAACGGCGUCUAAUACUGGAUAUGAGACGUGAUCGCAUGGUCGUGUUU
rnacentral:rRNA from 1 species